GUCAGUCGGUCUGUCGCCGUUGUCGCAAGACAAAGGAGGAAAGUCCGGGCAGCACAGAGCACUCCACUUCCUAACAGAAAGCUGUUCGUGAGGGCAGAGUAACGCAGAAGAAAAUAACCGCCUGCCUGCAGGUAAGGGUGAGAAGGUGGGGUAAGAGCCCACCGGUCGUGCAGCGAUGUACGAGCCGUGUGUCUUGGAGGCUGCAAGUUCAUGUAAACCGGCGCUUGAGGGUAGCUCGCCCGAGCCGGAGGGUAGAACGCUUUAGCAUUAUGGUGACAUAAUGUAUAGAUGAAUGACAGACACCCUACAAAGGGCACAGAACCCGGCUUAUAGAUUGACUGU
rnacentral:RNase_P_RNA from 1 species